AUUGAACGCUGGCGGCAUGCCUUACACAUGCAAGUCGAACGGUAACAGGCCGCAAGGUGCUGACGAGUGGCGAACGGGUGAGUAAUGCAUCGGAACGUGCCCAGUCGUGGGGGAUAACUGCUCGAAAGAGCAGCUAAUACCGCAUACGACCUGAGGGUGAAAGCGGGGGACCGUAAGGCCUCGCGCGAUUGGAGCGGCCGAUGUCAGAUUAGCUAGUUGGUGGGGUAAAGGCCUACCAAGGCAACGAUCUGUAGUUGGUCUGAGAGGACGACCAGCACCACUGGGACUGAGACACGGCCCAGACUCCUACGGGAGGCAGCAGUGGGGAAUUUUGGACAAGGCGCGCAAGCCUGAUCCAGCAAUGCCGCGUGCAGGAAGAAGGCCUUCGGGUUGUAAACUGCUUUUGUCAGGGAAGAAAUCUUCUGGUCUAAUACCCCGGGAGGAUGACGGUACCUGAAGAAUAAGCACCGGCUAACUACGUGCCAGCAGCCGCCGUAACAC
rnacentral:rRNA from 1 species